rnacentral:piRNA from 1 species
UGGAUUCCUCCAUAGUGGAAAUAUGGUCGC